rnacentral:rRNA from 1 species
CGUAGGGUGCAAGCGUUGUUCGGAAUCAUUGGGCGUAAAGCGCGUGUAGGUGGUCAUCUAAGUCGAGUGUGAAAUCCCUGGGCUCAACCUAGGAAGUGCAUCCGAAACUAGUUGACUAGAAGACAGUAGAGGAAGGUGGAAUUCCAAGUGUAGAGGUGAAAUUCGUAGAUAUUUGGAGGAAUACCGGCGGCGAAGGCGGCCUUCUGGGCUGUUCUUGACACUGAGACGCGAAAGCGUGGGUAGCAAACAGGAUUAGAUACCCUGGUAGUCCACGCCGUAAACGAUGGGUACUAGAUGUUGCAGGAAUUGACCCCUGCAGUGUCGACGCUAACGCAUUAAGUACCCCGCCUGGGAAGUACGGCCGCAAGGUUA